rnacentral:rRNA from 1 species
GCCAGACUCCUACGGGAGGCAGCAGUGGGGAAUAUUGCACAAUGGGGGGAACCCUGAUGCAGCGACGCCGCGUGAGCGAAGAAGUAUUUCGGUAUGUAAAGCUCUAUCAGCAGGGAAGAAAAUGACGGUACCUGACUAAGAAGCACCGGCUAAAUACGUGCCAGCAGCCGCGGUAAUACGUAUGGUGCAAGCGUUAUCCGGAUUUACUGGGUGUAAAGGGAGCGUAGACGGCAGUGCAAGUCUGGAGUGAAAGGCGGGGGCUCAACCCCCGGACUGCUCUGGAAACUGUACGGCUGGAGUGCAGGAGAGGUAAGUGGAAUUCCUAGUGUAGCGGUGAAAUGCGUAGAUAUUAGGAGGGACACCAGUGGCGAAGGCGGCUUACUGGACUGUAACUGACGUUGAGGCUCGAAAGCGUGGGGAGCAAACAGGAUUAGAUACCCCGGUA